rnacentral:lncRNA from 1 species
AGCCAGCUCAUUGUGGGUGUCCAGUCCAUCGAUCUUGCAUGAUUUGAUAGGUCGAGCUCCUUGGAGAGCUUUGUUGUAACAAUGGCAUGCCAAGUCUUGGUCUUCAUGGACUUCUCUGACUCAAUAUAUUGUCAAGAAUUUUAUCUUCAAGUGAUAUGUGGAAACGAUGGCUUGGAGUGCAUUAAGGCUUGGCCGGUCGAGGAUGGU